GCAUAUGUAUUUAUGUGGGGGUGUGUGUGUGGAAACGCAUCGAUUAGACAUUCAACGCGCUCGCGAUCACGUAUGCAUUGCCAAUAGUGAAGUAGAGAGAGCUGGACGCCGCGCGAGGGUCGAAAUUAGGAAAAAAUAGCAGUAAAUUUCACAACAUUACAAACAUACAGUACAUACAUUUACAUAUACAUAUAUGUAUGUAUGUAUGUAUAUUUGUAUUAUAAAUAAAGUGUGCGGAAAUCUGACUGAUUAAGUGCAAAACAAAAUUGCUGUUUCUAUUAUUAAGCGAGCGAUUGGCAACAAGUGGCGAACGCAGCGGGUCACUAUGGGUUGCCGAUGUUUUGCAUGGCAGUGGAUUUGGCGUCUCGACGUGUUUGCUGAGAAAUAGGUGCCAAGAACAGCCGCUUUCAUACGUCACACAUAAGCUUGUCAAUGUUCGCACACCCUCUUGAUGAAGUCACACAGUCGCGACGUGUGUGUGUGUAUGCCUUCACUUAGCAGCUGCUCGUUUGAGAGCUUUCAGCCGUUGAGCUUUGCCCUCAGCCACCAACCAGCAUUGCCAGUUGCGUUUUUUUUCUCCGAAAUGUAUUAAAAUCAAAUUUUUUUUGAAAAACACUUUUCCUUAACAAGUUUUCACUUACCUACAAUUUUCUUUCACUAGUUGUCUAUGUAUAUAAAUAAAGUUGCGAAAAAGACUUUGAA